GCCGACGUAGCUCAGUAGGUAGAGCGCGUCCUUGGUAAGGACGAGGUCACCGGUUCAAUCCCGGUCGUCGGCUCCA
rnacentral:tRNA from 1 species